AAAAAAUAGAGUGAUACAGAGAAGAUUAGCACAGUCACUGCACGAGGAUGACACGAAAAUCUGUGAAGUGUUCUAUGUUUUU
ensembl:snRNA Gm26091 predicted gene, 26091